CUCGUAGGCGGUUCGUCGCGUCCGGUGUGAAAGUCCAUCGCUUAACGGUGGAUCUGCGCCGGGUACGGGCGGGCUGGAGUGCGGUAGGGGAGACUGGAAUUCCCGGUGUAACGGUGGAAUGUGUAGAUAUCGGGAAGAACACCAAUGGCGAAGGCAGGUCUCUGGGCCGUUACUGACGCUGAGGAGCGAAAGCGUGGGGAGCGGACA
rnacentral:rRNA from 1 species